rnacentral:tRNA from 1 species
GCCGGUGUAGCUCAAUGGUAGAGCAGCUGAUUUGUAAUCAGCAGGUUGGGGGUUCGAUCCCCUUCGCCGGCUCCA